UGUUAUGUUAAUAGGAAGAAAAUUUUCUUUUAUAGAAAAAUAAUAAGUUGAUUUUAUCUACUAGGAAUAUUUAAAUUAUUCAAAUAGUUGGGUUGAUUUCUUAAGAAUUUUAUUUUAGAAGAAUUAGAACUAAAUAUUAAGAGACAUUAUUGCUUAGACGAUCAAGUCGCCUCAAUAGAAACAAUCAAGAAGGAGGAGCUUCAAAACCUACAAGAAGUUUAAGAAGAAGACGAACUACAAGGCUAAGCUAGUCAUGGUGGAGGACAAGGAUAACGAGUUUCAUUAUUAUGGAAGUGGCACCCACGUAAGUACAUAUAACGCAUAGGCUGAGUUAUGAGGACACUCAUUUUUGCGAGUAGUUGGUGAAAGAGAACGCCAGCUUAGGGAACGACUCCAAGCUCAAGAUGAAAAGUUGUGUUGUAAUAAGCAGUAAAGCACGAGAAAAUUCAACUCAACAACCAACACAUCGCUUCGAGCCACCAUAUGAAAGAAUAAAAAAAAAUAGCAACCACUGAUAUUUGAAAGAGGCUCUAACCCAUUAGAGGGGAAGGAACAACCAAAGAUUAUAGCAUCCAUAUUGGAUAUAUGGAACUCAAUAAUAGACAACUAACAAAUGACUUGAUAGAGUUGGAAAUAAAGGAUCAUGACGCUGUACUCGAUAUGGAUUGGCAAAUGGUUCAUCAAUUACUAAAAUUAUUUGGUCGCUUUUGGCAACAAAGGCCAAAGACAAGUGUACAUUCACAAGAGUUAAGAUAGCCUUAUGAACUUCUUUAAUCUCAUCCUUAAAGACUAACAAGCUAAGGAAGGUAUGGUGUCAAGCAUUGUUGGCCAAUGUAGUGAACCAAGUAGUGGAGACACAACUAACCAUGAAAAACAUCCACAUAGUCUGUUAAUUCCAAAAGGUCUUUCUAAAAGAUCUACCGUGGAUACCCUCAGACAGUGAUGUGGAGUUCAUAAUCAAGUUAGCUCCAAGAGUGCUUAAAUUUUGAAGAUUCCAUAUAAAAAUGGCAAUUUAUGAGCUGUAGAAACUCAAAGUAUAGCUACAAGAGCUCCUAGAUAAAGGGAUCAUUAGACCAAGUUACUCACCUUGGGGUGCUCCAGUACUCUUCAUCAAGAAGAAAGAUGAAAGCAUGAGAUUGUGCAUAGAUGACCUCAAGCUCAACAAGGUGACCAUCAAGAAUAAGUAUCCUUUACCAAGGAUGGACGAUCUCUUCGAUCAAUUGCAAGGCUUCAGUGUAUUCUAAAAAAAAAAACAAGAGAGAUUUAAGAUCUAGGUAUCACCAGCUGAAGGUUCGGAAGGAAGACAUACCUAAGACAGCAUUCAGAACGCGCUAUGGACACUAUGAGUUUUUAGUAAUGUCUUUUGCACUAACUAACGCCCAGCAGCCUUCAUGGAUAUGAUGAAUAUGGUGUUCAAGGAGUACCUAGAUAAGUUUGUUGUUGUAUUCAUUAAUGACAUUCUUAUCUACUCCAAAACUAUGGAGGAACAUGAGGAACACCUGAGGAUGACUCUAAACCGACUUAAGGAGAACCAACUUCAGGAAAUGUGAAUUCUAGUUAGAGAAGGUGGCAUUCCUACGCCAUAUAGUUUCCAAAGGUGGAGUCGAGGUGGAUCCUACAAACAUCGAAGCGGUCAAGAGCUGGCCAACACCUAAGACUGCAAGUGAAGUAAGAAGCUUCUUGGGUCUAGCUGGUUACUACAGAUGCUUUGCUGAAGGAUUUUCCAAGAUCGCAAUUCCUCUAACCAACUUGACUCGAAAGACGCAGAAGUUUGUCUGGCCAGAAAAGUGUGAGGAUAGCUUUCAAACACUUAAGGAAAAACUAAUAACAACCCCUAUAUUAUGUGUUUCUAAUAACAAGGAUAAGUUUUUUGGUUUACUGUGAUGCAUCAAAACAAGGGUUGGGAUGCGUGCUAAUGCAAAAUGACAAGGUAGUAGUGUAUGCCUCAAGACAACUUAAUGAGUAUGAAUAGAGGUACCCGACAUACGAUCUAAAGUUGGCAGUAGUAGAUUUUGCGCUAAAAUAUGGAGGCACUAUCUCUACGUGGAGAAAUGUAAAAUUUAUACUAACCACAAGAGCCUAAAGAACUUCUUUAUGCAAAAGGAACUCAACAUGAGGCAGAGAUGAUGGCUAGAGCUUGUUAAGAACUAUGAUUGUGAAAUCCACUACCACCUAGGGAAGGCCAAUGUAGUAGUAGACACGCUAAGUAGACGCAGUUAUGCUAGCUUGGCAAUACUAGCACGAAUGGAAAAGCCCCUACAACAGGAACUCCAAAGAAGUGGUAUAGAGAUCAUUACACAAAAACUAGCUAACCUAACCAUUGUCUCGACGCUACAUCAAGAACUUAAAGAUGUACAGAUUGUUGAUGAGUUCUUACAAAAGAAAAGAGCAGGCUUGCCAGAGAAGGAGGCAGAGGAUUUCUCUGAAGGUACAGACGGCAUGCUGAGGUAUAUGGGAAGAGUGUGUGGCCAACAACGUAGAGCUUAAAAGAAAAAUCAUGAUGGAAGCACACACUACACCCUACUCAAUGCAUCUAGGGUCAACAAAAAUGUACAAUGACUUAAAAACCUUGUAGUGGUGACCAUGGAUGAAGAAGGAUGUAGCUGAAUUCGUAGCUAGAUGCCUUACAUGUCAACAAGUUAAAGCUGAACAUCAAAAACCAGUAGGGAUGUUGCAGCCCUUGAAAAUCCCAGAAUGGAAGUGGGAAGAUAUAGCCAUGGAUUUUGUGACAGGACUAUCUCGAACAACCAAGCAACACGACUCAUUUUGGAUAAUUAUAGACAGACUCACAAAGUCAGCACACUUUGUUCCAGUAUAGUCUACUGACAACGCAGAGCAGUAAGCUGACUUGUACGUACAAGAGAUAUUAAGGUUGCAUGGAGUUCCAAAGACGAUAGUCUCGGAUGGAGGUUCAGUAUUCACCUCCAAGUUUUGCGAGAGUUUACAUAAGGCAAUGGGGACGAGAUUAAAACUUAGCACAACAUUUUAUCCCCAAACAGAUGGACAAUUUGAACGCACCAUCCAAAUACUCGAGGAUAUGCUUUGAGCAUGUGCACUAGACUUCACUGGCUCGUGGAGUAAGUAUUUACCUCUAAUAGAAUUCUCCUACAAUAAUAGAUAUCAAGCCACCAUCAAAAUGGUGCCAUAUGAGAUGGUGAAUGGACAAAAAUAUAGAUCACCGCUUCACUAGGAUGUAGUUAGAGAAAGACGCUAUUUAGGUCCAUUAAGUAGCCAGAGUGACGUACUCGUGUAUAAGAGCCAUUCAUUCCGUGGGUGUAAGGAUCCAAUGGAGGCUUGAAGCGGGGACGUUACAAAAUGGUAUUAGAAGCAGUAGUUGAAAGAUACGGCAAAAGAUGCUCACUGCCAAAAGUAGACAGAAAAGUUAUGCAGAUAUGAGAAGACGGGAGGUUGAGUAUUCUGUAGGGGACUUAGUGUUCUUGAAGGUAUCACCUAUGAAGGGAUUAUGCGUUUCAGAAAAAGGGGAAAGUUAAGCCUAAGAUUUAUAGGUCCUUUCGACAUACUGGACAAAGUUGGUUAGGUAGCUUACCGUUUGGCCCUACUGGCAACAUUAGCAGAAACGCAUAAUGUUUUCCACAUUUCCAUGUUACGGAAGUAUAUAUCUGAUCUGACACAUGUGCUUAAGUACGAGAACUUGAACUUGCAGCAGGACAUGAGUUAUAUGGCACGCCGUCUGCGCGUGAUAGAAAAGGAAAUAAAAGUCUUACGAAAUAAGACUAUACCCUUAGUCAAAUCCUGUGGAGUGAUAGUUCUGAUAAAGAAGCGACAUGGGAGUUAGAGACAGACAUGCAAAAAUAGUAACCCGAGUUAUUCUCUAGUAAGUAAAUUUCGAGGACGAAAUUCCUUUAAGGAGGGUAAAUUGUAAUGACCAAAAUAUUUAGUAAUUAUUUUCUAUUAUAAUAGUCUAGAUAUCUCGAUGCGGAAAUAGUAAUUUUAUAAGAUAAGUUAUUUAUAUUAAUAUUACAAUCUUGUAAUAGUGUUAAAAAUAAAAGAUCAUAGAUAAUAGUAAUCAUUUAUUUUAUUAAAACCCAACAUUACAUUACGAUAUGGACCAUGGUAUUUUAGUAGAAGUAAUUAGUUUACUAGAUGGUAUUAUGAAGGAAAAAGCUUGAGUAUUGUUAUAAUCAACUAUGGGUUUUAUUAGUUAUACGUGGCUAUACUAUUUUAUAAGUUACAAUAUGAUGGACAUGAGUAUUAUGAUUAGUAUUAUGUCUCUUUAUUUGAAUAAUUAGUGUAGAAGUAGAAGGUUAUGUGAUGACUUUGGGAAUAUGAAGUCUUGUUAAAAAGUUAGAUAUAUAUAUUCAAGUUUGGACGUGUGUCAUUAGGAGAGGAGUUAGUGGAUGGUUGAGUUUGUGUUAAUGAAUAGGUCAAUAGACUAAGUAGUACACGUGGAGAUCUUGGAGGGUAAAGCUCUUAACCAACAACAAUUAAAGACCAAGUAGUAGUCUAGAUUCAGCUAGUUUCUCUCAUUUAAAUUGUAUUGACUGAGUUUAUGGUGGAGCAAAUAAGGGAGUUGGCAUUUUGAAUUUUAAUUUUGAUAGUUUUAUAAAUCUUAACUAUAGUUAAGAUAAGGUCACGACAUAGAGUUAAGGGAUGGGUUAAUGUUAAACUUAGGCCUAUAAAUAGCCAUAUAGUUCUCUUAUUUUGCACUCAUUCAAAGAAGCUAGAUUGACCUCUCAAACAUUCACCCUUUGGUCAUUUCUAAAAUCCAUGCCAUAAUCUUCUUCUCCCAUUUUAUUAUUCUCACUUGAUUAUCUAAAGCAUAAACCUUACUCGUAGACAUCUUAUCCUACAUUUUUUGUCAUCUUCUCACACACAUAUAUAUAUAUACAUAUACAUAUAAAUCUUUCAUCAUAUCAGUAUCAUCACCAUCAUUUGGAAGCUAAUUAAGGUUUUUCAUAAGGCGAUUAUUGUUUCACAUGAUCACUCUUAUUGACAUCAAGACUAGGACUCCACAUUCGAGAUUAAGGUUGUAAGACUUAGAAAGCCGGUGGAAAAUGAGACCUUGGAGGCUUGUGUGUGUACUCGCUGAGGACCAUAUAACUGAGGGUGGUCUAGGGCACGCUCCAUUUAUUUUAUUAAGUGUUAUUAAAUUAAUGUCGCAAUUAUUUUUAUAUAUUAAUUAUUAUGUCUUUAAGUCCAAACUGUGCUCAAAUAUGAAAUAUUUUAUGUUUAUAAAUAAAAGCGACAUUACAGUUUUUCCGCA